AUUGAACGCUGGCGGCAGGCCUAACACAUGCAAGUCGAACGAGUGGCGGACGGGUGAGUAAUGUCUGGGAAACUGCCUGAUGGAGGGGGAUAACUACUGGAAACGGUAGCUAAUACCGCAUACCAUCGGAUGUGCCCAGAUGGGAUUAGCUUGUAGGUGGGGUAACGGCUCACCAAGGCGACGAUCCCUAGCUGGUCUGAGCGGAUGACCAGCCACUCUGGACCUGAGACACGGUCCAGACUCCUACGGUAGGCAGCAGUGGGGAAUAUUGCACAAUGGGCGCAGUCCUGAUGCAGCCAUGCCGCGUGUAUGAAGAAGGCCUUCGGGUUGUAAAGUACUUUCAGCGGGGAGGCGUUACCCGCAGAAGAAGCACCGGCUAACUCCGUGCCAGCAGCCGCGGUAAUUC
rnacentral:rRNA from 1 species